UUACUACUCCUGCAGUCCUAAAAUGGAUGUCUCAAAUUUUUCAAAAUAUGGAUGUAUGUAGACAUAUUUUUAGUGUUUAGAUACAUUCAAAUUAAAACAAAUUUCAGACAUCUUUUUCUGGACGUAGUGAGUACUAA
rnacentral:pre_miRNA from 1 species